ACAUUUUCAAAAUCACGGUCAAUUUUCAAUGAUAAUUUGUCAGCUUCUCCUAGUGUAUCAGCUACAUCAUGAGAGCAACUUAAUCACUUCUGAAGGUGGAAAUACCCCUUUCACGACAGAGCCCCAUUCAGGAAAAUAAUGACCACAGGGGCCUCAAGAAGUUAAUUAAAGUUCUAUUAACACUUUACAAAUAGGUCCAGAAGCUGUAUCUUAAAACGACAGCCAAGAUGACUGUAUAUGGUGCCAACUUCCUCUCUAAUUCACAGCUUUCAUGAUGAAUCCCAGGGUUUUAAGAAUAUGGAUAAAAAUGAAAAAUACUCUCAAACUAUUCUCCCUAGGAGACUUCCCAGUCAUUCUUACUGCUAUGAGAAAACCUGUUGCUGACAGCACACUGUAAGUGUUCAAAGGAAAAGCAGUAAGUGGAAGUCUAAUAAAAAUGAUAGAGGCUAGUGAAAAUGGCCAGGGGCCUAAUACCUGUGAAGGAAUAUGGCCCAUGUGCAAGUCUCAAUUCCUUCCCGCGCAAGUCCUGCCCUGGUCCUUUCCUCUUGUGCUCUGAGUAAUGGAGGAGGAGGAAGGAAACGGGAUGGACACCACUAUUCGCUGCGCCUGAUGCUCAGCCACUGGCCUGUGCCCCUUCGUGAUUGCCCCCCAGGGAUCUGGGGCUUCUCCGACCUCCUGCCUACCCACACACACCCCACCCAACAGGGGGCUUUCCAGAGGAUAAACAAACAAUGGCUGCCCAAUGACACACAAUAGCACUGCACUGUGCUUGGCCACAUGUAAAAACAUCUCAUAACUGGGAUUAUGAGCAAACGCCAAUAGAGACCCACGGGCAGGGACAUCCGGAGGGUAAAUAAGUUCCCAUGUACUGAGAUCAUUAUAUCUCAUUACACCUGAUUUUUAAAAUGCUGAUUUGUUCAUUAUUUAUGACAACAAAUUUGAUCAGAAACUGAGAUGGACUCUCCCAGAAUAAGCAGGGAGUUAAAAUGCAGGAACGAAGAACGAUAUGGAAAGAGGAGUCAUUAACUUCACUUUGGUGACAAGAGAUUGACAGAAACAACAGGGGCCUUUGAGCACUAUUGCUAAGGGGAAAGCGAACACACAUUGGCCGCCGCUCAGCUGGCUGGACCGGACGUGCCCGGCAGGAGAGGAACCAGGAGGCGAGCGCUGUCCGUGGUGCUGAAAGUGAGUAUCCUGGUUUAUUUGUAAAUAUCUUGGGUCGUCUCCUGGAGUAAUUCUUCCUAGUGAACGCUGGUGCCAACGUUCUGUGGCGAGUGGUCACUUUCAUCCUUCCCUUACAAAAGACUCAAAUGACACCCCUCUUUCUCCCGGAGAAGUAGCCGAAACCUGGAGUCUCGGUUUUCCGCACCCUGAAGGCGGUUUCUCUAUCACUUUACUCCGCAAAACCUCUCUGGGACUCCUCUUCCGGCAGGACAACAGUCUCCUCAGUCCUUUUCUGAAAAUAAACCACCUUACCUGCAGGGAACUAGACGGAAAACCGUGCACAUGCAGUAGUUUCCCAAUUUCUACGGUGUAAUCUAAUAAAGCAUUGGAUUUUUAUAUUCUGCAAUGUGUCUAUCCAAAUCAGUGGUGAUUUUCCCUAGUGUAACACUUUAACAUC